UACAGCCAUAUUACGUUGAAACACCGGUUCCUGUACGAUCACCGAAGAUAAGCAACGUUGAGUCUGGUCAGUUCCUAGAUGGGUGAUCACUUGGGAAUACCGGUGCUGUAAG
rnacentral:rRNA from 1 species